rnacentral:rRNA from 1 species
AGUGAACGCUGGCGGUAGGCCUAACACAUGCAAGUCGAACGGCAGCACAGUAAGAGCUUGCUCUUACGGGUGGCGAGUGGCGGACGGGUGAGGAAUACAUCGGAAUCUACUUUUUCGUGGGGGAUAACGUAGGGAAACUUACUCUAAUACCGCAUACGACCUACGGGUGAAAGUAGUGGAUCUUCGGACCUUGCGCGAUUGAAUGAGCCGAUGUCGGAUUAGCUAGUUGGCGGGGUAAAGGCCCACCAAGGCGACGAUCCGUAGCUGGUCUGAGAGGAUGAUCAGCCACACUGGAACUGAGACACGGUCCAGACUCCUACGGGAGGCAGCAGUGGGGAAUAUUGGACAAUGGGCGCAAGCCUGAUCCAGCCAUACCGCGUGGGUGAAGAAGGCCUUCGGGUUGUAAAGCCCUUUUGUUGGGAAAGAAAAGCAGCAGGUUAAUACCCCGCUGUUCUGACGGUACCCAAAGAAUAAGCACCGGCUAACUUCGUG